CUCACGCCAACGUUAGAACGAUCACAAUACCGCCCGAAUUCGGCCCAUCGCUUGCCGUGCUGGGUUGCGAGAACACAACCACUGCGUUGGCCCGGUCCUCUCGGCACCGGUUUCCUCAGCCCCCAGCCCCCCGGGGUCGGCAGGAUCGGGUCUAGUUUUUUUGCCGACAGGCAUCCUCACCUCUCUUUUCUCUGUCUUCUCAGGGCCAACGUCAGUUGGCCCUUUU
rnacentral:sRNA from 1 species